UUGUUGGUAAGGUAAAAGCUUACCAAGGCUUCGAUCAGUAGCUGGUCUGAGAGGACGACCAGCCACACUGGGACUGAGACACGGCCCAGACUCCUACGGGAGGCAGCAGUGGGGAAUUUUGGACAAUGGGGGCAACCCUGAUCCAGCCAUGCCGCGUGAGUGAAGAAGGCCUUCGGGUUGUAAAGCUCUUUCAGCCGGAACGAAACGGUUACGGAUAAUACCCAUGACUACUGACGGUACCGGAAGAAGAAGCACCGGCUAACUACGUGCCAGCAGCCGCGGUAAUACGUAGGGUGCAAGCGUUAAUCGGAAUUACUGGGCGUAAAGCGUGCGCAGGUGGUUUUGUAAGUCAGAUGUGAAAGCCCCGGGCUCAACCUGGGAACUGCGUUUGAAACUACAAGACUAGAGUGUGGCAGAGGGGGGUGGAAUUCCGCGUGUAGCAGUGAAAUGCGUAGAGAUGUGGAGGAACACCGAUGGCGAAGGCAGCCCCCUGGGUUAACACUGACACUCAGGCACGAAAGCAUGGGGAGCAAACAGGAUUAGAUACCCUGGUAGUCCAUGCCCUAAACGAUGUCAACUAGUUGUCGGGCCUUUACGGGCUUGGUAACGUAGCUAACGCGUGAAGUUGACCGCCUGGGGAGUACGAUCGCAAGAUUAAAACUCAAAUGAAUUGACGGGGACCCGCACAAGCGGUGGAUUAUGUGGAUUAAUUCGAUGCAACGCGAAAAACCUUACCUACCCUUGACAUGUAUCGAAGCCCGCAGAAAAGCGGGGGUGCCCGAAAGGGAACGAUAACACAGGUGCUGCAUGGCUGUCGUCAGCUCGUGUCGUGAGAUGUUGGGUUAAGUCCCGCAACGAGCGCAACCCUUGUCAUUAAUUGCCAUCAUUUAGUUGGGCACUUUAAUGAGACUGCCGG
rnacentral:rRNA from 1 species